rnacentral:rRNA from 1 species
UACGUAGGGCGCAAGCGUUGUCCGGAAUUAUUGGGCGUAAAGAGCUCGUAGGCGGCUUGUCACGUCGAUUGUGAAAGCCCGAGGCUUAACCUCGGGUCUGCAGUCGAUACGGGCUAGCUAGAGUGUGGUAGGGGAGAUCGGAAUUCCUGGUGUAGCGGUGAAAUGCGCAGAUAUCGGGAGGAACACCGGUGGCGAAGGCGGUUCUCUGGGCCUGUACUGACGCUGAGGAGCGAAAGCGUGGGGAGCAAACAGG